UACGUAGGGGGCAAGCGUUGUCCGGAAUCAUUGGGCGUAAAGAGCGCGUAGGCGGCCCUGUAAGUCCGCUGUGAAAGUCAAGGGCUCAACCCUUGAAUGCCGGUGGAUACUGCAGGGCUAGAGUCCGGAAGAGGCGAGUGGAAUUCCCGGUGUAGCGGUGAAAUGCGCAGAUAUCGGGAGGAACACCAAUGGCGAAGGCAGCUCGCUGGGACGUUACUGACGCUGAGACGCGAAAGCGUGGGGAGCAAACAGG
rnacentral:rRNA from 1 species